rnacentral:rRNA from 2 species
AAGAAUGUUCUGGAAAGAACAGCCAUAGAAGGUGAUAGCCCUGUAUUUGAAAGGUAUAUUAAGAUGAUAAAUGAGUAGGGCGGGACACGUGAAAUCCUGUCUGAAUAUGGGGGGACCAUCCUCCAAGGCUAAAUACUCCUGAAAGACCGAUAGUGAACAAGUACUGUGAAGGAAAGGUGAAAAGCACUUCGAAUAGAAGGGUGAAAUAGAACCUGAAACCGUACGCCUACAAGCGGUCGGAGCAGCGUAAUGCUGUGACGGCGUGCCUUUUGCAUAAUGAGCCUACGAGUUAAUUUUACUAGCGAGGUUAAGGUAUUAAGUACCGGAGCCGGAGCGAAAGCGAGUCUGAAUAGGGCGCAUAGUUAGUAGGAUUAGACGCGAAACCUUGUGAUCUACCCAUGGGCAGGUUGAAGCUCUGGUAACACAGAGUGGAGGACCGAACCGGUUGACGUUGAAAAGUCUUCGGAUGACCUGUGGGUAGGGGUGAAAGGCCAAUCAAACUGGGAGAUAGCUCGUACUCUCCGAAAUGCAUUUAGGUGCAGCGUCGUAUAUAAGUUUAUUAGAGGUAGAGCUACUGAUUGGAUGCGGGGGUUUCAUCGCCUACCAAUUCCUGACAAACUCCGAAUGCUAAUAAAUGUUCUACGGCAGUGAGGGCAUGGGUGCUAAGGUCCAUGUCCGAGAGGGAAAGAACCCAGACCAACAGCUAAGGUCCCAAAAUAUAUGUUAAGUUGAAACAACGCGGUUGGACUGCAUUGACAGCUAGGAUGUUGGCUUGGAAGCAGCCAUUCAUUUAAAGAGUGCGUAACAGCUCACUAGUCGAGCGGUCCGGCAUGGAUAAUAAUCGGGCAUAAACAUAUUACCGAAGCUAUGGAUUUAUAUUUUAGAUAUAUCUGGUAGGAGAGCAUUCUAUUUGCGCCGAAGCAGUACUGUGAGGUAUUGUGGAGCGGAUAGAAAAGAAAAUGUAGGCAUAAGUAACGAUAAAGCAGGCGAGAAACCUGCUCACCGAAAGACCAAGGCUUCCUCAGCCAUGCUAAUCAGCUGAGGGUUAGUCGGGACCUAACGCGAACCCGAAAGGGGUAGUGGAUGGACAAUGGGUUAAUAUUCCCAUACUUGCUCACAAUAAAAGGGGACGGUUGGAUGUAGCUGCUGGAGACUGACGGAAUAGUCAAGGCCUAGCCUUCGGGCGAAGCUGCUGUAGUGUAAUCUGAUCCAAGAAAAGCCGAAGUGAAGCAACCCGUACCAAAACCGACACAGGUGGUCGAGGAGAGAAUCCUAAGGUGCUCGAGUGAGUCGUGGCUAAGGAACUAGGCAAAAUAGUCUCGUAACUUCGGAAGAAGAGACGCCAACAGCAAUGUUGGCCGCAGUGAAGAGGCCCAGGCGACUGUUUAUCAAAAACACAGGACUCUGCUAAAUCGAAAGAUGCUGUAUAGGGUCUGACACCUGCCCGGUGCUGGAAGGUUAAGGAAGGUGCUUAGGGUUAAACCGAAGGCAUUAACUGAAGCCCCAGUAAACGGCGGCCGUAACUAUAACGGUCCUAAGGUAGCGAAAUUCCUUGUCGGGUAAGUUCCGACCUGCACGAAUGGUGUAACGAUCUGGGCACUGUCUCAGCCACGAGCUCGGUGAAAUUGUAGUAUCGGUGAAGAUGCCGAUUACCCGCAAUGGGACGAAAAGACCCUGUGAACCUUUACUAUAACUUCGUAUUGACUUUGAGUAAGUAAUGUGUAGGAUAGGUGGGAGGCUUUGAAGCAGGCACGCUAGUGUUUGUGGAGCCAACGUUGAAAUACCACCCUUUACUUACUUGGAGCCUAACUUCUUU